UUUACUUUUCUGAUGAUUCAAAAUGCAUAGUUCAUCUGAGGCUUCGGUCCCUGAAUGAUACAAACAUAGCAACGUCUUUCGCUCCUAUCUGAUAUAAAGUUAA
rfam:Pseudogymnoascus pannorum VKM F-4246 contig_198, whole genome shotgun sequence.